rnacentral:rRNA from 1 species
AUGCGCGAGUAUGCGGCAAAGGAGGUCACCUUCGGCAUUGGCGCGCACGCCGGCAUGCUGCGGUGCGUUAACGAACUCGCGAACGCCGUCAAGGUCACCAUGUGCGGUGCGAAGGGAGGGGCCGCGGCGGCGGCGCCGUGGUGGAGGCUUCCCGUGGAGGUGCUGCUACUGUGGGCGACGCGCGCAGCGAGGAGCGCGUGGUCGGUGCCCGUCGCCAUCGCGCUGCUCGGGAUCGCCGUGCGGGGCCGCCGGAUGCGGAGGCAGAGCAAGGCCGUGGCGCGCUUGCGGCUUGUCCUUGACGAUAAGGUCAGGCCCUUUGCCCCUUUCAGCCCCAUGCCGCGUCCCAAUCGCUUGAUAUUGCCCCGCUGUGCUUGUGCUUGA